GCAAGUCGAGCGGUAGAGAGGUGCUUGCACCUCUUGAGAGCGGCGGACGGGUGAGUAAUGCCUAGGAAUCUGCCUGGUAGUGGGGGAUAACGCUCGGAAACGGACGCUAAUACCGCAUACGUCCUACGGGAGAAAGCAGGGGACCUUCGGGCCUUGCGCUAUCAGAUGAGCCUAGGUCGGAUUAGCUAGUUGGUGAGGUAAUGGCUCACCAAGGCGACGAUCCGUAACUGGUCUGAGAGGAUGAUCAGUCACACUGGAACUGAGACACGGUCCAGACUCCUACGGGAGGCAGCAGUGGGGAAUAUUGGACAAUGGGCGAAAGCCUGAUCCAGCCAUGCCGCGUGUGUGAAGAAGGUCUUCGGAUUGUAAAGCACUUUAAGUUGGGAGGAAGGGUUGUAGAUUAAUACUCUGCAAUUUUGACGUUACCGACAGAAUAAGCACCGGCUAACUCUGUGCCAGCAGCCGCGGUAAUACAGAGGGUGCAAGCGUUAAUCGGAAUUACUGGGCGUAAAGCGCGCGUAGGUGGUUCGUUAAGUUGGAUGUGAAAGCCCCGGGCUCAACCUGGGAACUGCAUUCAAAACUGUCGAGCUAGAGUAUGGUAGAGGGUGGUGGAAUUUCCUGUGUAGCGGUGAAAUGCGUAGAUAUAGGAAGGAACACCAGUGGCGAAGGCGACCACCUGGACUGAUACUGACACUGAGGUGCGAAAGCGUGGGGAGCAAACAGGAUUAGAUACCCUGGUAGUCCACGCCGUANACGAUGUCAACUAGCCGUUGGGAGCCUUGAGCUCUUAGUGGCGCAGCUAACGCAUUAAGUUGACCGCCUGGGGAGUACGGCCGCAAGGUUAAAACUCAAAUGAAUUGACGGGGGCCCGCACAAGCGGUGGAGCAUG
rnacentral:rRNA from 1 species